GAUCAUAACUAUUAUCCCUUAUGUGUGAGCGAUUGCUUUUUAUUAGCAUCAGUAUUAUAUUUGGUUUUGUAGAUUGUGUAACAUUAAUUCAUAAUGAUAUAUUUUACGUUCUUACUCAUUGCCACUUCUUUUUCUCAUAUCGUUUUAGAGCUAUUAGUUAACAUACGGAGGUUGAGACAUGACAUAAACCAGAUGUACAUAAAUAUGUUUAAUAUCCCUACUAGAAAUAAUCCCCC
rnacentral:lncRNA from 1 species